CCUACGGGAGGCUGCAGUGGGGAAUAUUGGACAAUGGGGGGAACCCUGAUCCAGCCAUGCCGCGUGUGUGAAGAAGGCCCUCGGGUUGUAAAGCACUUUCAGUGAGGAAGAACGCCUGGUGGUUAAUACCCAUCAGGAAAGACAUCACUCACAGAAGAAGCACCGGCUAACUCCGUGCCAGCAGCCGCGGUAAUACGGAGGGUGCGAGCGUUAAUCGGAAUUACUGGGCGUAAAGCGCGCGUAGGUGGCUUGAUAAGCCGGUUGUGAAAGCCCCGGGCUCAACCUGGGAACGGCAUCCGGAACUGUCAAGCUAGAGUGCAGGAGAGGAAGGUAGAAUUCCCGGUGUAGCGGUGAAAUGCGUAGAGAUCGGGAGGAAUACCAGUGGCGAAGGCGGCCUUCUGGACUGACACUGACACUGAGGUGCGAAAGCGUGGGUAGCAAACAGGAUUAGAUACCCGUGUAGUUC
rnacentral:rRNA from 1 species